GAUGAAGAACGCAGCGAAAUGCGAUACUUGGUGUGAAUUGCAGAAUCCCGUGAACCAUCGAGUCUUUGAACGCAAGUUGCGCCUCAAGCCAUUAGGUUGAGGGCACGUCUGCCUGGGCGUCACAUAUCGUUGCCUGAUGCCAGUUUCCUCGUGAUGGGUGACUGUGCAGGGCGAAUGAUGGCUUCCCGUGAGCAUUGUUGCCUCAUGGUUGGCUGAAAAUUGAGUCCUUGGUAGGGAGCGCCGUGAUAGAUGGUGGUUGAGUGACGAACGAGACCCAAUCAUGUGAGACCCCUACCGAAUUUGGCCUUCAUGACCCACAUGCGUCUUUGGAACGCUCAUGACGAGACCUCAGGUCAGGCGGGGCUACCCGCUGAGUUUAAGCAUAUCAAUAAGCGGAGGA
rnacentral:misc_RNA from 1 species